CACGUAGGGCGCAAGCGUUGUCCGGAAUUAUUGGGCGUAAAGAGCUCGUAGGCGGUCCGUCACGUCCGCUGUGAAAACCCAGGGCUCAACCCUGGGCUUGCAGUGGAUACGGGCAGACUAGAGGUAGGUAGGGGAGAAUGGAAUUCCCGGUGUAGCGGUGAAAUGCGCAGAUAUCGGGAGGAACACCGGUGGCGAAGGCGGCGACCUGGGUAGAUACUGACGCUGAGGCGCGAAAGCGUGGGGAGCAAACAGG
rnacentral:rRNA from 1 species